rnacentral:tRNA from 1 species
AGCUGAGUGGCGCAGUGGAAGCGUGAUGGGCUCAUAACCCAUAGGUCACAGGAUCGAAACCUNUCUCAGCUACCA